rnacentral:misc_RNA from 1 species
UUUUGAUGGUAGAUAAGUGCU